rnacentral:lncRNA from 1 species
UCUAAAUUACAAACAGAAUAAGAUGAGUAAGCAAAGAUCAAAGUGAAGAAGGUGUGGAAUUUUGGAGUGCCAGUGGGUAGAAUGGUGUGCCAUGGGAAGGAGAGAGGAGCAUCCUGGAGACGCUCCUUUCACCAACAAGACUUUACACCAGGAAGAGUUCCUUUUAAAAUUGGCCUGGGUGGCAGAGGUCAGAACAUACACAAUUCAACAACAACUUGCGCCACCCACCUCCAAUUCCCUGCUCUACAGGACCAUCCUGACUUCCACAGUGACCCGAGCACUGGCAUUCCAAGGACUCAAAUGACCACCUUCCUCGCCCUUCAAUAAGUAUCUCUCAGUGAAGAAAGUAUUUGGAUGAAUGACAGAAAGCAUCCUGAACUGUGCACCUGCAAAAGAUAUUUCACACAUUCCUUUUUGGACAUUUUGUUAUUUUCCUCUAAGCCGAUAGCCUUUCCAUCUUGUGCAGGAAAGAUCAUUAAGUAUUUCAUAGGCAUAAACAUUUCAUGUUCAAAACUUUUGGUACUUCAGUUGUAAUAUUGUUAUUGUACUACAUAAAUCUAAAAUAAAACCAGCUUCUCUGCCCAGUACCUAUCAGCUGCAAUUUAGGGGAAGUGCCUUUAUAUUUAUAUCCUAUGGGCCCAAUCAGGUAGAAAGAGAAUUAUUCUUUAUCUUGUCUAAUGUCCCCAAAUCUCCCAGGUCCCAAGUCACAGAAAGGCAAUGUGGUAGCAUUCUUCUGGGGACUCAUCAGAUAUAUCCUCAAAGUACUUUUGUCAAAUACAUUAUUCUAAUCAAUGUGAAUCCUAAAAUGUUAUUAUUAAUAGUAUAGUUAUAUGUUGUCAAUUUUUUUUGGAAUAUGAAUCAUUUUUGUAAGUAAUAUGUCAUUUGAUUGUCUCAAAAAUUCUAUCAAGUUAUCCCAUUUUGUGGGUCAAAGAACUAAGGUUCAGGAACAUGAAGGGACUUGCUUCAAUUAAUUGGUCAGGAUGUGAUGGCGGGGAGAUUUGGAGAGGCUCCAGGGUCCAAGGUUGAGCCUUUGUGCUAUUCUAUGUCACUUGGCUUCUGGCAGAGCACAGAUCUUAGAUGUUUAGCUCUUCAGUCACAGGAUGGAGAGGAGGGAAAGUCAGAAGCACGGAGGCGGUCCUGUUGUGUAGCACUGAUUUUCAGAAUCUUCCCCCAACACUUCAUCUUCCUCCUUGUUCUUUUCCUGGCCAAGCCUUAAUUGACCAGUUCUACUUCUAGUUAAGGACCAAUUCCUUCUGGCCCAGUGCUACAAGGACAUUAGCAAUCCCACUCCUUCACGAAGCUGAUUGUGAGUCAUGCCAGUUCCUCCUCCAGGCAGAACCAGGUGUGGGCACUCUUUCUGAGCUCCGCAUCGAACAUGGGGACCUGUGAUGCAGUGUUUUCAGCUCCCACUGGAGAGAUGCAGAGAGGGCGAUUUAUCAGUGACAGUCAAAAAAGCUGGUUCUGCCUCUUUCUAGAGGCAGAUGCAGGGGCCUAGAUGUUGUUAUUAAUCAUUCGUAAACGGUUCUGUGUUCAAAAUAGCAGUGUUUAAAUAUUUCAGAACAGGUCCAGCCUCAUAAAAAGUGGGUUAUGGGCUGUCAUGAUAACAUUUCAUCUCCUUCACCAUGUUGUGGCCGAGAGAAAUAAGCUGUCACUGCCACUUGCAUCCCUGACCCUCCAACAUGCCAGGGCACAGCAGCCAAUGGAGUGUGCUGGCAGCAAGGCAGGGGGGAGAAAGGCAGGACUACUCCAUCAAGAUACCACCAUGAACCAAAAGGGCAAUUUUCCCAUAUUUAGGCUGCCUGUUUGGGUUAACUAUCAACCAAAGACCUUUGUUUUUAAACAGAACCUUUUUUCUCUUUCACAUUUGAUAAAUAAAAGCCUUAGACUGAAAUUCUUUCUGAUUUUACUGCUUCCUUUAAGUUUUACCUCAUGACAUUUUGGAUAGACUGAAUGAAAUCAUAGUUUAUUUCCCUCCCUAUUCCGGUGCCUACCCUGCCCCGCACCUUUCCCACUUUCCCAGUUCUCGGAAUCUGUCUGACGUAACUGUUUAGGGAAGAUGGUAUUAACCUGAUAGCAUCUGAGGAACACCUGCCUGCAUUAUCACUACUUUACUCUGAGUUAGAAACCCCGUGCCCUUUUCAAUAACAAGAACAGGGAGAAACCAUCGUGAAACACACCACUCAGAAAGGAC